UACGUAGGGGGCAAGCGUUAUCCGGAUUUACUGGGUGUAAAGGGAGCGUAGACGGUAUGGCAAGUCUGUUGUGAAAACCCGGGGCUCAACCCCGGGACUGCAUUGGAAACUGUCGGACUAGAGUGUCGGAGAGGCAAGUGGAAUUCCUAGUGUAGCGGUGAAACGCGUAGAUAUUAGGAGGAACACCAGUGGCGAAGGCGGCUUGCUGGACGAUGACUGACGUUGAGGCUCGAAAGCGUGGGGAGCAAACAGG
rnacentral:rRNA from 1 species